rnacentral:rRNA from 1 species
CGUCGCGUACAGACGACGCGUGGCGGCGUGGCCAAUUACAAUGCAAAGUCCGGAGCGGACCGGGAGUUCGUAAGGCGUUGCCUUCGGACUUCGGGUCCGAGCCGGGCGGACGGGGUGAGUAACACGUCGGGCAACCUAGGCCCGCCGAAGACCGGGAGUAACUCCGGGAAACCGGAAGCUAAUACCGGAUAACACCGAAGACCGCAUGGUCUUUGGUUGAAAGGCGGCCUUUGGGCUGUCACUUGCGGAUGGGCCCGCGGCGCAUUAGCUAGUUGGUGAGGUAACGGCUCACCAAGGCGACGAUGCGUAGCCGGCCUGAGAGGGUGACCGGCCACACUGGGACUGAGACACGGCCCAGACUCCUACGGGAGGCAGCAGUAGGGAACCUUCCGCAAUGGGCGAAAGCCUGACGGAGCGACGCCGCGUGAGCGAAGAAGGCCUUCGGGUCGUAAAGCUCUGUUGUGAGGGACGAAGGAGCGCCGUUCGAAGAGGGCGGCGCGGUGACGGUACCUCACGAGAAAGCCCCGGCUAACUACGUG